rnacentral:rRNA from 1 species
CCAAUAGCGUAUAUUAAAGUUGUUGCAGUUAAAAAGCUCGUAGUUGAAUUUUGGAUUCUUCCAAUUGGUCCAUCUUUUAGAUGAGUACUGGUUGUGUGGGGUCUAUCCGCCUGGUGAUACGUAAUGUCCUUUAUUGGAUGUUGCGGGUAGUCAGGACCUUUACCUUGAAAAAAUUAGAGUGUUUAAAGCAGGCUUAUGCCGGAAUACAUUAGCAUGGAAUAAUAGAAUAGGACGAAGUUGUUUUAUUUUGUUGGUUUCUAGGACAACCGUAAUGAUUAAUAGGGAUAGUUGGGGGCAUUAGUAUUCAAUUGUCAGAGGUGAAAUUCUUGGAUUUAUUGAAGACUAACUACUGCGAAAGCAUUUGCCAAGGAUGUGUUCAUUAAUCAAGAACGAAAGUUAGGGGAUCGAAGACGAUCAGAUACCGUCGUAGUCUUAACCAUAAACUAUGCCGACUAGGGAUCGGGCGAUGUUGUUUCCAUGACUCGCUCGGCACCUUAUG